rnacentral:ncRNA from 1 species
CGAAGGUUUGGUCCUAGCCUCAAUAUUAGUUCUAACUUAGUUUACACAUGCAAGUCUCAGCACUCCGGUGAGAACGCCCCACUUAAAUCUUAACUUUAAGUAGGAGCUGGCAUCAGGCACACCCCAUAACAAGGAGGUAGCCCAUAACGCCUCGCUCUUUGCCACACCCACAAGGGAGUUCAGCAGUGAUAAAUAUUGCCCUAUAAGCGUAAGCUUGAAUCAACUAAAGUCCAAAGAGUCGGUCAAUCUCGUGCCAGCCACCGCGGUUAUACGAGUGACACAAACUAAUAUUUUACGGCGUAAAGGGUGAUUAAAACCAAUCUUUUUAAAAAUAAAGUUAAGAUAACAUCAAACUGUCAUACGUUAUCCAUGUUCCAAAACAUCAGUUACGAAAGUAACUUUAUACAAAAAAGAGUUUUUGACUUCACGACAGUUAAGGCCCAAACUAGGAUUAGAUACCCUACUAUGCUUAACCGUAAACCUCCUACCAUAACACUAUUACCCCACCAUACCGCCUGAAUACUACAAGCGCUAGCUUAAAAUCCAAAGGACUUGGCGGUACUCCAAACCCAUCUAGAGGAGCCUGUUCUAUAACCGAUAAUCCACGUUUAACCUCACCACUUCUUGCCAUUUCCGCCUAUAUACCGCCGUCGCCAGCUCACUCUGUGAAGAAGCAACAGUAAGCACAAUGGGGACCUUUCCCCAGCACGUCAGGUCGAGGUGUAGCGAAUGAAGUGGGAAGAAAUGGGCUACAUUCUCUCUAUAGAAUAUACGAACAAAAGCAUGAAAAACUUCUUAAAGGUGGAUUUAGCAGUAAGUGAAUUUUAGAAUACUAAACUGAAAUUGGCUCUGGAGUGCGCACACACCGCCCGUCACUCUCCUCAAAAAACACCACCCCUUUCAUAAAAAAAAUUAAAAACAAGAGGAGGCAAGUCGUAACAUGGUAAGUGUACCGGAAGGUGCACUUGGACUAAC